AACCCUAUAGUCAUAGACUAUUUAAAAAGAAUGGAGCAGAGGAUUUAAUUCAUAAGCGACAUCAUGGCAUUCUGUAAAAACAAAAUGUCUGCUAUUGUUCCAGUCAAGGAAAGACAUGGAAGAAUCACGGCGUCACCCUACACAGUGUGGACCAUUGCGCUGUAUCAUAGAGCAUUGCGCUGUAUCGUCAGCCAGAUAUUCAGUGUUUGAUUUCAGAAAAACAACAUGGCGGAUCCCCUUACAUAACUGAAUUUUGGCAGUAGUUUACCAUUUCUGCUAAAAGAAACCAGCGCUUCAGGCAGGGAGAAAUCCCGGGGACAAGAAUUGUACAAGAUGAGCCUUGUCACACCCUGAGGAGGAGCUGCAGAAGCCCUGGAGGCAGUAGUCGCAGUAGUGUACCAUUUUCCACUAAAGGAAACCAGCACUUCAGGCAGAAGUGUACAGAGCAAGAAUUGUACAAGAUGAGCCUGGAGUAUCUUGUCAUGCCAGAUGGAAAAGAAUCGAUCAAAGACACAGGAGCCAAGUAGAAGAACUCCAACUGUCCAAGCAUGGGACAUGCUGAGAAACCAACUCUUUAUUUUGAAAACUGGUAAGUAAAGGGAAAUAAUUAAGCAUUUAUCCUGCUUUUUUCCAUUGAACUGUACCACUGGAAACUAAAUAGCACAGGAGAUCAAGUUUCUCUUUAUAGAAGUACUCCAGCAAACGAAGGGAGAAAGAACGGUAGUUUUGCGAUAUCACUAUUUUGCAACCCUGAAUGAAUUAAUGCACCUAGACACUGAACACCACUAACUGCUAAAUCACAGAGAAAUCCGCACAUGAUGUGCUUCGUGAUAAACAAAAAAGACAACCAUUUAUGAAGUAGUCUUGCCAAAAACGAAGCAAAAAACCUGAUUCUGAUUAGACUUCUAGAUCAAUUACCAAUUUACAAGAAAUGCAGGAGAUAGAGGAAUAUUUUAAACGACACCAUGGGAGUAUAAUCAGCAAAAGUAAGAAACUCCACAGGACAAAUGACCUGGUUUUUUCCAACAAAUAAAUUAUGAACAAAAGAGGAAGACUGUAAAUUAAAGGAGACUUAAAAACUAUAUUAAAACAGUUUAAACUAUAUUGUUCACGUAUUUAUACUAGUGAAUAGGUGUGACUGUAAGAUUGCGAGGUGAUAAAAUUAUAAAGAAAAGUGAGAAAGUAAUUAUCAUAAAAGUCAGGAUAAUGGAUACUCUUGAGGGGAGGGAGGGUGAUUAGCUGAGGGUAUUUGGGAUUCACAGGUGG